CGUUAGCGGCGGACGGGUGAGUAACACGUGGGCAACCUGCCUGUAAGACUGGGAUAACUCCGGGAAACCGGAGCUAAUACCGGAUAACAUUUUCUCUUGCAUAAGAGAAAAUUGAAAGAUGGUUUCGGCUAUCACUUACAGAUGGGCCCGCGGUGCAUUAGCUAGUUGGUGAGGUAACGGCUCACCAAGGCAACGAUGCAUAGCCGACCUGAGAGGGUGAUCGGCCACACUGGGACUGAGACACGGCCCAGACUCCUACGGGAGGCAGCAGUAGGGAAUCUUCCGCAAUGGACGAAAGUCUGACGGAGCAACGCCGCGUGAGUGAUGAAGGCUUUCGGGUCGUAAAACUCUGUUGUUAGGGAAGAACAAGUACAAGAGUAACUGCUUGUACCUUGACGGUACCUAACCAGAAAGCCGCGGCUAACUACGUGCCAGCAGCCGCGGUAAUACGUAGGUGGCAAGCGUUAUCCGGAAUUAUUGGGCGUAAAGCGCGCGCAGGCGGUUUCUUAAGUCUGAUGUGAAAGCCCACGGCUCAACCGUGGAGGGUCAUUGGAAACUGGGGAACUUGAGUGCAGAAGAGAAAAGCGGAAUUCCACGUGUAGCGGUGAAAUGCGUAGAGAUGUGGAGGAACACCAGUGGCGAAGGCGGCUUUUUGGUCUGUAACUGACGCUGAGGGGCUAAAGCGUGGUGAGCAAACAGGAUUAUAUACCCUGGUAGUCCACGCCGUAAACGAUGAGUGCUAAGUGUUAGAGGGUUUCCGCCCUUUAGUGCUGCAGCUAACGCAUUAAGCACUCCGCCUGGGGAGUACGGUCGCAAGACUGAAACUCAAAGGAAUUGACGGGGGCCCGCACAAGCGGUGGAGCAUGUGGUUUAAUUCGAAGCAACGCGAAGAACCUUACCAGGUCUUGACAUCCUCUGACAACUCUAGAGAUAGAGCGUUCCCCUUCGGGGGACAGAGUGACAGGUGGUGCAUGGUUGUCGUCAGCUCGUGUCGUGAGAUGUUGGGUUAAGUCCCGCAACGAGCGCAACCCUUGAUCUUAGUUGCCAGCAUUUAGUUGGGCACUCUAAGGUGACUGCCGGUGACAAACCGGAGGAAGGUGGGGAUGACGUCAAAUCAUCAUGCCCCUUAUGACCUGGGCUACACACGUGCUACAAUGGAUGGUACAAAGGGCUGCAAGACCGCGAGGUCAAGCCAAUCCCAUAAAACCAUUCUCAGUUCGGAUUGUAGGCUGCAACUCGCCUACAUGAAGCUGGAAUCGCUAGUAAUCG
rnacentral:rRNA from 1 species